AUUCCAUGAUGAGGACAAUCUUGAAUGUAUCCUUACAAACGCUCCCAAGCUUCUGAAAUCUUUCUAUGGCAAU
rnacentral:snoRNA from 1 species